GUGAUUGUUUAGAAAGAAUUUGAGUUGCCAAAUUCUUUGGUGCUUUCAUGAAAUUAGCAGUGAUAUCGACGGCUAAAAAUUCAGGGUAAGCUUUCAAUAUUGAUUGUUUUUGCUGCUAUCAAUGUGUUGAAGAAAAUCUUAGGCCUCAUUUGAGACGGUUGGGAUUGUUUGAAACUGAUGAAAGUCAUCCAUGAAAAUCUCAGACUAGCAUUGGAAGCAAUUGUCCAACAAAGGUUAGAACCGACAAACCAGAGGAUUCCAUGUCCACGUCACAUAGUUCUGCUUUCUGGUGUUCUUAUUUUUGCACAUCCAUAAAUACUUGCACAAAGAGAAAGUUAAUGGUCCAGAGGUAAUGCAACGUUUUAUGAACUUGCUGAGAGGUCACUAGAUGAGCCAGUUAAUGAUGGAAUGAAAGAGCAUAUAUCAAAGGUUGUCUAAAAGCAAAAAGCACUUGCUGCUUUAAACUUUCAAGACGAAGGAGAAACAAAAAAUAGUCUAUGGUGAAUGAAGUUAGUUAGCAAAAACAAACUCCGUUCCUAUUCUUCCUAUUGAUAAAUGUCUAUUAUAGUGUACAACAUCAUAACAAAGCAGAAUUAGAGAAAUGUAGUAUGUUGUUCAUUUUAUGCUAUUCUUACAUCUACAGAUUGAAAAAUAAUUGUGCUGCUUCUAUCUCA